rnacentral:rRNA from 1 species
UACGGGGGGGGCAAGCGUUGUUCGGAAUUACUGGGCGUAAAGGGCUUGUAGGUGGCCAACUAAGUCAGACGUGAAAUCCCUCGGCUUAACCGGGGAACUGCGUCUGAUACUGGAUGGCUUGAGUGUGGGAGAGGGAUGCGGAAUUCCAGGUGUAGCGGUGAAAUGCGUAGAUAUCUGGAGGAACACCGGUGGCGAAGGCGGCGACCUGGACAGAUAUUGACGCUGAGGUGCGAAAGCGUGGGGAGCAAACAGG